rnacentral:lncRNA from 1 species
CAUUGUUUCAGUUGCUUCUGGUUCAAGUUCAGAAUUCAUCACCAUCAUCAGAAUUUGAUGGUAGAUACUAAGGUCGGUGGAACUGUCGCCCGGUUCGAGGCAUUCCAAGCUAUACCGGCCAUGGACCGGAACAAUUCUGGCAACGAAAACGAGAUCGGCACUGGAGGAGGCAAAGACGAAAGAAAAAGACGAAAAGAGUGAGAAAGCGGGAGAGGAAGGUCGAGGCCGGCCAGGGAACCGCCACACGGAGGAGAGCUGCGGAAGAGGGGCCCAUUUCAGUCCCCUGUUUCGUUUGAAACAGAGGCAUGAGGGGCGCUUUUUAUGUUUAGAGUUUUUAAGUGAAAGUAGCGGAGCCCUUCUUCUGCGGCUUCUCGGCGGCUCUACAGCCUCUGCCUCCUCUGCGCGACAGCUCUUCGACCUCCACUAGCCUCCUUGGCCUCCCCCUUCUCUCAUUCUUUUUCUCUCUCAUUCUCCCUCCCCCGUCUCUUCUACUGUGUCGGUACAAGCACGGCACGGCAUGGCACGGGUUCGUACCGACUCAUGCUACUGGGCGACUGGUACAAUGCCCAGUAUCGGUUCUGCCAACUCUGGUAGAUACAUUUCAAAAUUUAAAGCAGAUCCUUCAUUUUACAAU